rnacentral:rRNA from 1 species
UACGGGGGGGGCAAGCGUUGUUCGGAAUUACUGGGCGUAAAGCGCGCGUAGGCGGCUUUUCAAGUCAGACGUGAAAUCCUUAGGCUUAACCUGAGAACUGCGUUUGAUACUGUUGAGCUAGAGUGUGGAAGGGGCUACUAGAAUUCCGUGUGUAGCGGUGAAAUGCGUAGAGAUCAUGAGGAAGACCAGUGGCGAAGGCGGGUCUCUGGACAGUUCCUGACACUGAGGCACGAAGGCCAGGGGAGCAAACGGG